rnacentral:rRNA from 1 species
AUUGAACGCUGGCGGCAGGCCUAACACAUGCAAGUCGAACGAGCGGCGGGCGGGUGAGCAAAGUAUGGGGACCGUCCGAUAGAGGGGGAUAACUACUGGAAAAGGUAGCGAAUACCGCAUACCCUCGGACACCGCAGAUGGGAUUAGCUAGUCGGUGCGGUAAUGGAUCACCUAGGCGACGAUCCCUAGCUGGUCUGAGAGGAUGAUCAGCCACACUGGUACUGAGACACGGCCCAGACUCCUACGGAGGCAGCAGUGGGGAAUAUUGCACAAUGGGCGAAAGCCUGAUGCAGCCAUGCCGCGUGUAUGAAGAAGGCCCUAGGGUUGUAAAGUACUUUCAGUCGGGAGGCGUUACCGACAGAGGAAGCACCGGCUAACUCCGUGCCAGCAGCCGCGGUAAUAC